CGGUAUGCAGGUUGCAGCUCCUUUACAAUAAUAAAUAAGAAAACUGCUUUCACAUUAAGUUUCAAACAUCAACAACCUCACAUCUCCCCUGUAGGCCUAGCCGUUGGUGGAAAGCAGCAAAGUACAAGAUCUUAUGUCUGCUGCACAGCUCCAAACAUGAAUCCAGGAGUGAUGAUGAGGAGAGGAAUUGGUGUUCAUUAGUUGGAAGCAGUCAGGUGCAAGCAGAUACACGCCACAGUACAAAGAUUCCUCCAACCCACAUACUGUACCUCGCCAGUUUAAACAGCCACCUGCAGUCCUGAUGGAGACAGGACAGGAGGAUUGUACCUGGACUGACUGUAGACGCCGGGGCAGUAGAGGAGAGCCGUCAUGAGAUACUGUUGAGGACAGAGGCUGCUGAGCACCAAACUGAUUCCAUACAGAGAGGUCAACACGAACACAGACAGG